GAUGAACGCUGGCGGCGUGCCUAAUACAUGCAAGUCGAGCGAACGGAUGAGAAUCUUGUUUCUUUGAUGUUUGCCGCGGACGUGUGUGUAACAUGUGUAUAAUCUACCUAUCAUACUGAUAUAACUUCGGGACACCGGCGCUUAUACCGUAUAAUCUUUUGAUCCGUAUUGUUCAUUAGUGAAAGACGGUCUUGCGGUCUCUUAUAGAUGCAUCCGGGCUUCAUGAGCUAGUUGUUACGUUAACGGCUUACCACGGCAACGAUGCAUAGCCGACCUGAGAGGGUGUACGGCCACAGAGGGAGUGAGAGACGAUACAGACACUGACGGGAGGCAGCAGUAGGGAAGCGAGCGAAAUGGGCGAAAGACUGACGGAGCAGCGCAGGGUGAGUGAUGAAGGUCUGCGGAUGGUAAAACGCUGUUAGGGGGGAAGAACGUAUGUGUAAGUAACGAAGCGUAUGUUGACGGAACGUAAACAGAAAGCCACGGCUAACUACGU
rnacentral:rRNA from 1 species